AGCUCCAAUAGCGUAUAUUAAAGUUGUUGCAGUUAAAAAGCUCGUAGUUGGAUUUCUGUUUCUUACGUCCGGUCCGUCUGUUCUGCAGAUGCGUACUAGUGAUGUUGGAUUCAUUUUUUGUGAGACUGUUGUACUGGCAUUAAGUUGUUGGUGUAAUGGGCUUGCAUCGUUUACUGUGAAAAAAUUAGAGUGUUUAAAGCAGGCGUUCGCUUCUGAAUACAUUAGCAUGGAAUAAUAAGAUAUGACUUGUGUGGUCUAUUUUGUUGGUUUGCACACGCGAGUAAUGAUUAAUAGGGACAGUUGGGGGUAUUCAUAUUUCAGCGUCAGAGGUGAAAUUCUUGGAUCGCUGAAAGAUGAGCUUAGGCGAAAGCAUUUAUCAUGGAUGUUUUCAUUA
rnacentral:rRNA from 1 species